UCUCAAACCCGGGGUCCUUCUCAUCAGCCGCUGGCUGCAAUGCACCAAGCUAAUCAACUGCAGGAUGGUGGAGAUACUAUUUUAACUCCUGACUAGGAGAUAACAAACCUAAGAUAUCUGCUGUAUCACCAACUAUCAGCCCUCUGAAGACAAGUAUUGAGGCAUUAAUACCAUUGAUACCAGGAGAUUUACAGUGUAAAGCCAAUUACCUUAAGGAAAGGAGAAGGAAACUGCUGUAAGCAAAGGCAUGGAGCUUAAAAGUGUGGGCCUGCUAACCCUGCUAAGCAAUUGUUUGUCUGAGUGAGGAGCUAGAGCCCCUGGUGCUUGGCAACUGCAGAGAACGCUGCAAAGGUGGCACUGAGGCCAGUUCAUCAGAUCUAGGUCAUCACCAGUUGAUGAAAGCAUGAACCUAUUUUGGUAGUAGCUAGUUCAGUGACCAUAUUUUCUGAAAGAAAAAUCAGGCACAUGGUCUUAACAGAUGUUCGGGUCCAUUCUGGAUGUGAGAAGCAAUUUGGAAGAUGAAAGAGAACCUAAAAUGCUAAAAAUGUUUUGAUUGUUUUGGUAGCUUAUAGGGCUUAGGAAACAGAAUCUCUGACGUUAGAGCUAUCUUUGAAAUAAGUCUUGUUCCUGUAAUGGUAAGAGGUCACUGAGGUGUUGAGGGGAUAGAAGCCAGUGAGAAUGUUCAUCUGGAAAUGGUGUAUCUAUGCUAAAUUAGGGGACAGGGUCAAGAUGAAGAGGAAGGUGGCAACUGAAAGGGUAUUUAGGAAGUUUUAAAAACAGGUCAGGAGAAAAGGCCUUUGUGAAGAAGGUGACAAGAGAAGUGGAAAGGAAGGCCCGUGAGAAGCAGAAGAGAAGUCUCUAAAGGAAGUCUCUCCUGUCAUUUCAGGUCCCUCUACUGCUGUUUACACAUGAAUGAUUGCUCUCCAAAGCUUGGGGUGGAGUGGCAUUUAUGUUCCCAUUUCCAUGGCAACUGUGAGGAGGCCAGAAAAAUAAGGACAAUGGGUCUCAAACACCAGUGUUCCCACAAAAUUCUUACCAGCUGCAAAGAGGAAUAGAGCAACUUUGCAUGAAGAACCUAUAAGGAAUCACCCUAUUCUAAAUAUCAAAGUGAGUAUCACCAGUAAUAAAACAACUCAAAAUCAUGCUCCAUUUGAUAGAAUAGAUACAAUGGGAAAAAUACAGCAUCAUCUCUAUGAUAAAUUCUGGUCAAAAAUGUAUACCCUAAAUCUACUCAUGAGGAACCAUCAGGACCAUCAGAUAAACUCAAAUUGAGAGACAGUCUAUUAAAUAACUAGCUUGCAAUUUUCAAAAGUAUCAAGCUUAUAAAUGUCAAGAAAGACUGAAAAACUGUUCCAGACCGAAGGUGGUGGCUCAAGAGAAAAUUGAAU